AAGCCUGAGCGAAAUGACAAGAAAGGUUAUGUAAAUGAUUAAACAAACACAAUACCUGUUUUUCCUUUUACCCAGAUAACUGAAACACAGAAGAGAUCAGAUUAAAAGGAAAAGAUGCCCACCCCAUUAUGGAUAUAAAGCAGGAAGAAGGCAUAAACAUGCCCCUGCCUUCCUCGUUCUCAUACUGCCACCUAACACAGGGACACUUUGCCAUGCUUUGGCUACUCUGAAGGGACAAAGGGAAGACAAGGAGAAUAUCUUUAGAUGGAUGUGGAAACCAACAGAGAAUAAGAAGACCCUUUCGGAAAUGAGUUAACAUAUCAUUAUCAUCUCUGCCAAUUAGCAUUUAUUGAGCAACUGGGCACUUGGAACUUCAAGAAUCUCCACAGAGACUCCAUAUUCUGAUCCAUCUGAGAAAGACUACAACUCUGACCACAAAUGCCAGCAGCAGACAACAUCAUGUAGCCCAGGAAAGGGACCAGACUAGCCACAUCCCAAACUUAUCAAACCAGC